AUUAUAUUGCGGCGAAGCACUGCUCUUUGGGACUAUAUUGGGACUAUAUUGGGGCGAAACACUACUCCUUGGGACUAUAUUGGGGCGAAGUACUACUCCUUGGGACUAUAUUGGGGCGAAGCACAGAGGAAACACUGCUA